rnacentral:rRNA from 1 species
UGCAGUCGACGAUGAAGCCCAGCUUGCUGGGUGGAUUAGUGGCGAACGGGUGAGUAACACGUGAGUAACCUGCCCUUAACUCUGGGAUAAGCCUGGGAAACUGGGUCUAAUACCGGAUAGGAGCGUCCACCGCAUGGUGGGUGUUGGAAAGAUUUAUCGGUUUUGGAUGGACUCGCGGCCUAUCAGCUUGUUGGUGAGGUAAUGGCUCACCAAGGCGACGACGGGUAGCCGGCCUGAGAGGGUGACCGGCCACACUGGGACUGAGACACGGCCCAGACUCCUACGGGAGGCAGCAGUGGGGAAUAUUGCACAAUGGGCGAAAGCCUGAUGCAGCGACGCCGCGUGAGGGAUGACGGCCUUCGGGUUGUAAACCUCUUUCAGUAGGGAAGAAGCGAAAGUGACGGUACCUGCAGAAGAAGCACCGGCUAACUACGUGCCAGCAGCCGCGGUAAUACGUAGGGUGCGAGCGUUAUCCGGAAUUAUUGGGCGUAAAGAGCUCGUAGGCGGUUUGUCGCGUCUGUCGUGAAAGUCCGGGGC